UACGGAGGGUGCAAGCGUUAUCCGGAUUCACUGGGUUUAAAGGGUGCGUAGGUGGGCUGGUAAGUCAGUGGUGAAAUCUCCAGGCUUAACUUGGAAACGGCCAUUGAUACUAUCAGUCUUGAAUACCGUGGAGGUCAGCGGAAUAUGUCAUGUAGCGGUGAAAUGCUUAGAUAUGACAUAGAACACCAAUUGCGAAGGCAGCUGGCUACACGAAUAUUGACACUGAUGCACGAAAGCGUGGGGAUCAAACAGG
rnacentral:rRNA from 1 species